UACGUAGGGCGCAAGCGUAUCCGGAAUUAUUGGGCGUAAAGAGCUCGUAGGCGGUUUGUCGCGUCUGCCGUGAAAGUCCGGGGCUCAACUCCGGAUCUGCGGUGGGUACGGGCAGACUAGAGUGAUGUAGGGGAGACUGGAAUUCCUGGUGUAGGCGGUGAAAAUGCGCAGAUAUCAGGAGGAACACCGAUGGCGAAGGCAGGUCUCUGGGCAUUAACUGACGCUGAGGAGCGAAAGCAUGGGGAGCGAACAGGA
rnacentral:rRNA from 1 species